AACGAGAACGAAUUAAUGGUACUCUGAGGCGACGACUCACUCGGCUCUUGUGUUCUACAGGUAUGAGGGAGUUUAACCCAAUAACCCAAUUUAAUAUCUAUGUGGUUCCCUUAGUCACUUGGGGUUUCCAUCGCAAAGCCGAUAAAAACCAGGAAGUGGCGGAUGUUGCGACGAUGUACCAAUUUUUUUUU
rnacentral:telomerase_RNA from 1 species